GUUAUUUUUAAGAAGAAAGGAAAGCUUUGUGAAAGACCAUGGUGAGUGAAUUUUGCUGUAUCUGCUUCUGUUUUCUCCAUUGUUCACAAGAAAACCGCUUGUCUGAUCUCCAAAGUAAUGGUUGUUUUAUGCUCUAAAAGAGCUCAAGCCCCCAAAUAAUGAGGCUGAUGUAACACUGGGAAUAGUCAAAGGGGAUAAAUCCCUGAUGUAAGAAAACACAGUUUGCUUUGUAUGUUCUUUAAGAGUUGAACACUGAAGUGAUCCUGGAGGUAUUUGCUGCACUGCUGAGAGCAAGAUGAACAAAUACUUCAGAAAAUGGCCCCUGACCCACUGGGCUCCUCACCCUCUUGCAGAAGCCCUGCCAGGAAUUGGUUUCAGCAGCAAAUGCCAGAAGAUGGAUCAAGCUCAUCCCUUUCACCCCACUUAGCUGAGCUACAGAUGUUAUUCAUAUUCAUCACAGUGUCCAGCUCUUUGACAAAAGUACAGAGUUCCUUGGCUCAAUAAAAAUCAUAUGUCAUCGAGU
rnacentral:lncRNA from 1 species